rnacentral:lncRNA from 1 species
GACUUUUGCGGAAACACACACAUCAACGGAUAUGAGCAAUAUUAUAAUCAAAAUGUUAAUCAUUUUGGUAAACCAAAAACUUCCAGGAAAAAAUAAUAUUAUCAUCCAAGUCAGUCGUCUCGACAUUCAGUUUUUUGCAAUCGUUAGUGUUUAGCAGUUGAACAAUUGAAAUCGAGGAAUUACUGAGAGUCUGUAACUCCCGUAGGUUUCAGAAUUUUUAACAACACUCAGACGUGCGACGCAACUUGAUUACACCGCUUUUUGCUUUUUAUUUCAUAAUCAAUUGUUGCAAACGUUCCAUAAUCGUACGCAGGAUGUUUUCUGAAAAUAAUUUCGGCAAAGAUUAUUCCAGCAUAUCUCAACACGAACUAGGUUUGCAUGUUUGUAACAACGAAAGAGAUCUUGACAAAAGUUUACGAAACAUGGCCGAAGAUUUUAUUUAUUUCUACAAUAUACGUUUUAUGAUGCUUCAGUCACCUGUGAACAUAAGUAGAAUUGAAAAGUUCCGAGAUUUAUGUAACGAAGAUAUUGUAGGCAGUUAUUAAUACUUAAGUAGAGCUAUAUGCUCCUGUAGAAAUUUACACGUCAACGUAUAUGAGCAACUUUACAGUCAAAAUAUUAAUCAUUUUGGUAAGCCGCAAACUUCCAGGAAGAAAUAAUACCGUCAUCCGAGUCAGUCGUCUCGACAUUCAGUUUGUUGUAAUCGUCAGUGGUUAGCAGUUCAAUGAUUGUAAUCUGGAAAUUGCUGAGAGUUUGUAACGUCCGUAUUCAUAGACUUCAGAAUUAGUAACGAUUCUCUGACGCGUGAUGCAACUUGAUUAUACCUUUUUGCUUUUCGUUUACAUCUCACAAUCAACUGUUGCACACAAUCCACAAUCAUACGCAAGGAUGUUUUCUGAAAAUAAUCUUGGCAAAGAUUAUUCGAGCAUAUCUGAACACGAACUACUAUUGCAUGUUUGUAACAACGAAAGAGAUCUUGACAAAAGUUUGCGAAACAUGGCCGAAUAUUUUAUUCAUGUCUACAGUAUACGUUUCAUGACGCUUCAGUCACCUGUGAACAUAAGUAGAAUUGAAAAGUUCCGAGAUUUAUGUAACGAAAAUAUUGUAGGCAGACAUUUUCCAAUCACUGACGUCAUAUAUGAAUUUUAUUCUUAUUUGGAGCUACAUUAUGCACUUUAUAAUAAUUAUAAGAUUUUUAAAACUUCAAGAAAGUACGGUACGCCAAUUUUUAUUAUUCUAGGUUUUUUAGGAAACUGUUUGUCUGCCAGUGUGCUCUUCCGUAAAAAGAUGCGUUCUUUCUCGUCCAACAUCUACUUGGGCGUGCUAGCAAUAUGCGACAUAACUUAUUCGAUAAUAUUACUCAUUGAAUGGCUCAUGUUAAUGGAUAUAGAACCAAUAAAAGACGCAUACUGGGUAACGUACUUGAUAGAGUUUCCGAGAUUCUUUUCCGAGUUCUUGAGCGUGUGGCUUAUAGUAGCCUUUACCAUCGAGCGAUAUAUUGUUACGAAGUAUCCGCUUCUGCGUCGAUCUUGGUGCACUGUCAGACAAGCAAAAAUCGUAGUAAUCACGCUGAUGGGACUAGCGAUUUUGUUCAACAUUUUUUAUAUGUGGA